CGGGACAGCGCCAAACCCAAAAGCACCACGGAUCACCUCGUGAACCUGCAGCUGCGGACGCACUACUGGACUUUUAACUGUUUGGCACAGAUGGACUCGGACACAAAGACAUGACAUGUUGGUGCAAGAGGGAAGGAACAGAGAAAAGAGAGAGUGGCUGGGAGAAGCAGGAGCAGGAGACUGACAUUGGGUAUGAAUGAAUGAAUAUGGAUCCACUCUGGAAACCCAGGGUCGUCCGGGGCACCAGUCUCUAUUAACAACAUCUCCAUCUGCAUAUCCACUGCAAACGUUGUCCUCCAGAGCUGUGGAGUGUGACAAUGGUGUUUGUGUCCUGUGUGUCAAACGCCAUUAUCACACUAAAUAGCUACAGUGUGAAAAGGACUUCAAUGUAUCCCUCCAUUUCAUUUUUUCAUUUUUAAUUUCAGUCAUUUCUUUGUCUUGUGGCUUCUGUGUAAUCUUUUUUUUUUUUUUUCAGAUUUAAAAUAGUUUACUUAUAGAUAAUGCAAAUGUGUCCAAGUGUCAAUAGCUGCUAUAGCAUGGGACACAUUGCACCAUGCAGGAGGGGCACAGAUGGAAAUAGACAUAAUGAGAUGACACACAGUACAUGAUCUCGAGCCUCUUAGUGUGACCUACUUUCUUUUGCAUUUGAGGCGCUAACUUGCCGCUGCAGACCUUCUCCUGUAAGUAUGGAUGGGAAUAGAGGGCUUAUUUGUUUCCAUGCCCCCACCAUUUCUUUCACCGUCAUCGUUCAACAUGUAAACAGGUCUAAUUCAAUGCUACAUUAUGUGACUGUAGAGUUUUCAUCCAUGCAAAUCAAGUAAAUAAUAAACAAGUGUUUGUUUUUUGUGA